GCCUGGGUGGCUCACAGUCGGUUGAGCGUCUGACUUUGGCUCAGGUCAUGAACUCGCGGUUCGUGGGUUCGAGCCCCACAUCAAGCU
rnacentral:tRNA from 1 species